GCUAAAGAGGACAAACUACUGUGGGAGUUGCUAAAAAAGAAAAGAAAACUGGGCAUGGGAAACGGGAGCAGUAAACCAUGUGGCCUUGCACUGAGCCAGUUGAGUCCACAAACCCCACGAUUGGUCCCCUCCUCUUCACCUACAUACAGUUCAAAUGGGAACCAUUUGCUACCCAAGAUACCCCUGGGCGCCUCACCUUUGGUGACAUAUCCGCAACGUAAACCUCAGAAGAAGUCCCUCCUCUUCACCUACAUGCAGUUCAAAUGGGAACCAUUUGCUACCCAAGAUACCCCUGGGCUCCUCACCUUCGGUGACAUAUCCGCAACGUAAACCUCAGAAGAAGAUUACAUCCGGAUUUCGUACUUAAAACUUUUAUCAUAUGGAAUUAGGCUGUGGCUCGGUUUUGGUAACUAUACUUUGAUAACCUCUUUUAUUUUUACUGCGAGGGGCUUCAUUAGUUUGCAAUUCUUGCAUUUUUUUAUUCCAUCAUGUUGACAGUAUAAAAGAAACUUAACUGUGCAUUCACUGAUUCAUUUUCCAAACCAAGAAAAUAUCUUUUGUUGUACAAAUGCAUCCACUGCUAUGUCCCAAUUGCAGUAUUAUAUGAGUAAGAGAAACAUAGGAGUUAUCU
rnacentral:lncRNA from 1 species